AUUGAACGCUGGCGGCAGGCCUAACACAUGCAAGUCGAGCGGACGACGGCAGCUUGCUCCUGCAUUCAGCGGCGGACGAGUGAGUAAUGCAUCGGUAUCUGCCUGGUAGUGCGGGAUAACGUCCGCAAACAGGCGCUAAUACCGCAUACGUCCUGAGGGACAGCGUGAGGAAUCUUCCGACCUCACUUUAUCAGUUGAUCCUAGGUCGGAUUAGCUAGUUGGCGGGGUAAAGGUCUACCUAGGCGACGAUCAGUAACUGGUCUGAUAGGAUGAUCUGGCACACUGGAACUGAGACAAGGCCCAAACACCGACGGGAGGCAGCAGUGGGGAAUAUUGGGCGAGGGGGGAAAGGGGAAUACAGCAAAACCGCGGGUGUGAAGAAGGACCUCGGAUGGUAAAGCGAUGUAGGUUGUGAGGAAGGAAAGUAAUUUAAUACCGUACUAUAAUGACGGUACCAACAGAAUAAGCACCGGCUAACUUCGUG
rnacentral:rRNA from 1 species